rfam:Myotis davidii contig66629, whole genome shotgun sequence.
AGGCCUGAAAAGAGAGGCAGGGUCUGAUCCCCAGCCUCUGUGGCAGCUUUUGAUGAGCCGUUGCCUCUCUCUUUGUCUCCU